CGUCUCAGAGGCUGUCUGUGCAGGAAGUCCCGCCUCUGUUGAAUGGUGACAGUCGUCCUCAGCAGCAGCAGCGCUCGUCUCAGUCUGUCCCGGGCCUUCAGUCUCACCCGAACCCCUCCAGUAAUGGACACGCCCAGUCCGCUUCUUCAGCCAGCUCCGCCCACUCACAGACAGCAGUGGGCGUGUCUGGGUUACAGUCUCCUCCCUCCAUUACCCACACCUCCACCUCCUCCCACAGUUCCCUGCUGGGCCUGACUCCGCCCCUAAUGGCCCCCCACAGUGCCCCUCUGUCCCGCGCGCUCACACCCGUCCUGCUGUCCGGCUCUGCCGCUGCUGUCGGUGUGCUGAAGGCUCCUGAUCUCUACUCCACCUCCACACUGCCGCUGCCGAGGAGACAGUCCAGCGAGACUCGUCAGGGAUUCAUGGGCUCGACUCUUCCCCGAGUGCUUCCGCUCUGUGCUCCGCCCCGUGUGGAGGCUCUGUUCCCUCACUCCACAGACUCCUGCGAGGCAGAGAAGCCAGGAGACCGAGGAGGAAGCUCAUGUCUGCUGUCCUUCCUCCCUGGAGACGCUCUGUCCCUGCUGAUCAGUGAACCCAGAGACGGCUGGCACUACGGACAGAACGAGCGCUCGGGACGGUAUCUGACCAUCAGCCUUUCAGUCAGGGACAGUUAAAGUGCCCCUAUUGUGCCUUUUCGAAUAUUACCUUUCAUGCAGUGUGUGCAUGUAGCUGAAUGUGAACAUAAACUAUCUGCGAGGUUGUGAAGCCGACAGUGCACGAUAAAUAAAGGUAUUGUCUAUCAAAAAAAAGAGUCGGCUCGCAAUCGCCUAAACGAGUCGUCAGGAAUUCGAAUCUUAUUCUGUUACGGCUCUACGUCACGAAGUAACACAUUUGCAUAAUGUCCGCCCACGUUCUACGUCGCCAACUUGCCUUCUCGACAUAACAUUUCCGUCAUGUCGAGAAGACGCUGUAUCCUGUAUCCAAUCCAGAGCAAGCUCUCUACGGCUCUGGACCAAUCACAAAGGACUGCGCCAUCUGACCAAUCACAGCAGUGAGGGCUCGUUUACGAAUCAUUUAGAAAUGAGGUCAAAUGAAAUCAGUUUUUUGAGAAAACUAAUGUGUUUUUUGACCUUGCAUGCAUGUAAACCUGUUUUAGGAGACUCAUAAAACAUUAUUAGCAACCUUAAAAAUGGCAUAAUAGGGGCACUUUAAACAUUAGCUAUGCGUCAUUUUCAUACUGAUUUGUGGUGCAGAACUAUAUAAUUAUCAGCAGCAAUAUGAGGGGCCUGUUCCUAGAACAAAGCUUAUAUGGUCAUUUUGCAAUGGAUUGGCAUAAACCAAGAUUUUCCAUUUGUUCAAAGCAAGUUUAAAGCCUGUUCACACCAAGAGUGAAGACCUUCGAAACAAUGCUUUCGUUUGGACCUCACGCCAGGG
rnacentral:lncRNA from 1 species